rnacentral:rRNA from 1 species
UACAGAGGGUGCAAGCGUUGUUCGGAAUUACUGGGCGUAAAGCGCGCGCAGGCGGAUCCUGCAAGUCCGAAGUGAAAUCUCACUGCUCAACGGUGAGGCUGCUUUGGAUACUGCGGAUCUGGAGACCGGUAGAGGCUGGUAGAAUUGCAGGUGUAGCGGUGGAAUGCGUAGAGAUCUGCAAGAAUACCCGUGGCGAAGGCGGCCAGCUGGGCCGGUUCUGACGCUGAGGCGCGAAAGCGUGGGGAGCGAACAGG